UACGAAGGGGACUAGCGUUGUUCGGAUUUACUGGGCGUAAAGCGCGCGUAGGCGGAUCACUAAGUCAGGGGUGAAAUCCCGAGGCUUAACCUCGGAACUGCCUUUGAUACUGGAGAUCUGGAGAUCGGGAGAGGUUGGUAGAAUUCCGAGUGUAGAGGUGAAAUUCGUAGAUAUUCGGAGGAACACCAGAAGCGAAGGCGGCCAACUGGCCCGAUACUGACGCUGAGGCGCGAAAGCGUGGGGAGCAAACAGG
rnacentral:rRNA from 1 species